ACCGGGAUUGCCCUAGUAACGGCGAGUGAAGCGGCAAGAGCUCAAAUUUGAAAGCUGGCCCCCUCGGGGUCCGCAUUGUAAUUUGUAGAGGAUGCUUCGGGAGCGGUCCCCAUCUAAGUGCCCUGGAACGGGCCGUCAUAGAGGGUGAGAAUCCCGUAUGGGAUGGGGUGCCCGCGCCCGUGUGAAGCUCCUUCGACGAGUCGAGUUGUUUGGGAAUGCAGCUCUAAUUGGGUGGUAAAUUUCAUCUAAAGCUAAAUAUUGGCCGGAGACCGAUAGCGCACAAGUAGAGUGAUCGAAAGAUGAAAAGCACUUUGAAAAGAGAGUUAAACAGCACGUGAAAUUGUUGAAAGGGAAGCGCUUGCGAUCAGACUCGCUCGCGGGGUUCAGCCGGCCUUCGGGCCGGUGUACUUCCCCGCGGGCGGGCCAGCGUCGGUUUGGGCGGCCGGUCAAAGGCCCCUGGAAUGUAACGCCUCUCGGGGCGUCUUAUAGCCAGGGGUGCCAUGCGGCCUGCCCGGACCGAGGAACGCGCUUCGGCUCGGACGCUGGCAUAAUGGUCGUAAGCGACCCGUCUUGAAACACGGACCAAGGAGUCUAACAUCUACGCGAGUGUUCGGGUGUCAAACCCGUGCGCGCAGUGAAAGCGAACGGAGGUGGGAACCCCUCGGGGUGCACCAUCGACCGAUCCUGAAGUCUUCGGAUGGAUUUGAGUAAGAGCGUAGCUGUUGGGACCCGAAAGAUGGUGAACUAUGCCUGAAUAGGGCGAAGCCAGAGGAAACUCUGGUGGAGGCUCGCAGCGGUUCUGACGUGCAAAUCGAUCGUCAAAUUUGGGUAUAGGGGCGAAAGACUAAUCGAAC
rnacentral:rRNA from 2 species